AAACAUCAUCUGGAGUUUUCUGGAAAAAAAAAAAAAGGAAAACCACAUCAAGAACUCUGCUCCAAGGUCGGCGGCGGCGCUCUCCCUAGCUAGCCGCUCCUUCUCCUCUGUCGCCGGCGGCGCCUCCGACCACCGCAGGGCUCCGUCCCGCCGCCUCCCAGGGUAGUCAUGGCGAGAUUGAUGUCGUCCGCCCUCAUCAGGGGUCUCGUGAGAUCGAGCUGCUCGCCGACCGUAGCUGCUGUGGCCCAACCAACUAUCCAUCAGUUUAGGAACUACUCAUCAGGACUUGGUGGCGAUUCUACUGCAACUGGGGACUCAAGUUCAACACGAGUUGCUGCUGAUCCUGAUACACAUCAAGAUUUCCAGCCUACAACCAAAAGUUCCAACAUGUCUUUUGAUGACAUUGUUUCUCAGGAUAUCAAGGAGAACCCAGUCCUGAUCUACAUGAAGGGUUAUCCUGAUGCUCCUAGGUGUGGGUUCAGUGCGUUGGCAGUUAGAGUCCUCAAGCAAUAUGAUGUCCCUAUCAGUGCUAGGGAUAUUUUGGGAGACCUCAAGCUCAAAGAGAGUGUCAAAGCCCACACCAACUGGCCUACAUUUCCACAAAUAUUUAUCAAAGGAGAGUUUGUUGGGGGAUCUGAUAUCAUAUUAGAUAUGCAUCAGAAGGGUCAGCUUAAGGAUGUGCUUGGUGAUAUUGCACAAAAGCGUGAACAAAACGAAUCAUCAUGAAGAAGAUAUAGUACGCCAUUUUUGUCACAACCAAGUAUGGAUUUGCGUUCUCCUGUUUGAUCUUUUCAUCUGAAAACCACACUUAAAGUUUGACUGCAAUGGUUAAUGUGACAGGACAAAACGUUAUCGAGAUAAAAGCGAUAUGUCAUUUUCAGUUUUUCACAGAAAAGAAAUGCAAUAUGGCUUGUUGCAUUACAGCGGAUUCUGUGUCUAUUGGAUUAUCAAUCUAUGAAGCCAAAUUAGUUUGUUUCUGGGCAAUAAUGUGUGAGCUCCACAGUACAUCACUUAUGAAACAAAGCUUUACAUAACAAAUUAGUGUUUGUUUUUUUUUAGCUUUGAUCUCCCCAGUGGCUGGGAUAGUUAUUUUAUUCCGUCGUGUAGCUUCUUUUAAAUGCGAUAUGCCAUAUUCACAAAGGAAUCAUAUGCCAUCU